rnacentral:rRNA from 1 species
AGGGUGUAAACGCUGCAGACUUGGUGUUGGAAGCCCUUUGGGGGGCGAUUCAGUGCCGGAGAGAAGUUGUUAAGUCUGCUACUUGGGGAGUACGUCCGCAAGGAUGAAACUUAAAGGAAUUGGCGGGGGAGGCACCGCAACGGGAGGAGCGUGCGGUUUAAUUGGAUUCAACACCGUAAAACUCACCAGGGAAGACUGUUACAUGAAGGCCGAGAUGAAGACUCUGCUAGAUUUUCAGAGAGGUGGUGCAUGGCGUCAGUGACU